rnacentral:rRNA from 1 species
CCGGAACAGUGGCGAACGGGUGAGUAACACGUGGGCAAUCUGCCCCUAACUCUGGGAUAACUACUCGAAAGAGUAGCUAAUACCGGAUACGAAAUCUGAGGACAUCCUCGGAUUUGGAAAGUUUUUCGGUUAGGGAUGAGCCCGCGGCCUAUCAGCUAGUUGGUGAGGUAAUGGCUCACCAAGGCGACGACGGGUAGCCGGCCUGAGAGGGCGACCGGCCACACUGGGACUGAGACACGGCCCAGACUCC